rnacentral:rRNA from 1 species
AUUGAACGCUGGCGGCAGGCUUAACACAUGCAAGUCGAACGAGUGGCGGACGGGUGAGUAAUGCUUGGGGAUCUGGCCGAUGGAGGGGGAUAACUACUGGAAACUGUAGCUAAUACCGCAUACUAUAGGAUGAGCCCAAGUGGGAUUAGGUAGUUGGUGGGGUAAAGGCUCACCAAGCCGACGAUCUCUAGCUGGUCUGAGAGGAUGACCAGCCACACUGGGACUGAGACACGGCCCAGACUCCUACGGGAGGCAGCAGUGGGGAAUAUUGCGCAAUGGGGGCAACCUGAUGCAGCCAUGCCGCGUGAAUGAAGAAGGCCUUCGGGUUGUAAAGUACUUUCGGCAGGGAGGCGUUACCUACAGAAGAAGCACCGGCUAACUCCGUGCCAGCAGCCGCGGUAAUAC